rnacentral:rRNA from 1 species
UACGUAGGGGGCAAGCGUUGUCCGGAUUUAUUGGGCGUAAAGAGCGUGUAGGCGGUCAGGUAGGUCCGUUGUGAAAACUCGAGGCUCAACCUCGAGACGCCGAUGGAAACCAUCUGACUAGAGUCCGGAAGAGGAGAGUGGAAUUCCUGGUGUAGCGGUGAAAUGCGCAGAUAUCAGGAAGAACACCCGUGGCUAAGGCGGCUCUCUAGUACGGUACUGACGCUGAGACGCGAAGGCGUGGGGAGCGAACAGG